UUGAUCUUAUCGGAGAGUAGCGCGCGCCUCAUGCCUCUCUUUCUUGGCUUCCGCUCUGCGUUUUCAGUCACAUUUACCGCUUGAUGUGUCUCGGCACUGAACAUAAACUUGAACUAAAUUACAGGUUACAGCUUCUUGCUCCGUGAACUAUCGAGGAUGGAAGAGUAUUUGCAGUACUCGAAGAUCUUGCGCUUACAAAUGAAUGACGGGGAGGAUCAAGCUUUGAAGAACUCUGUCGAAGAGCAUAUGUACUUUCUUACUACUCAAACCGUGGGGAUUUCACUUCUGGGUAAACUUGAAACGGCUAAGCGAGCCAGUGAAACGGAAGCAUCAGCUGAUACGGUUGGAGGCAGUUCUUGACCAACUAUCCCCCUAUUCUCUACAAUAUGUAUAAUGGUUUUCAUCAAAAUAGUUUUGCUUAUAAGUAGUUUUGCAGUUCAGAUUGAGAAUGGAUGAUCGAGUAAGGCUCAUGAGAUAUAUGCAGUCCUAUGCCACAAAUUCCAUUUUUUCGAGUCAGUACAAUAAAGCAUAUUUUGAUUCUUACAUUGGUAGUUGAUUUCACACUAAAGGAGCAGCACCUUGAACUCUAUACACCUAAAUGUUCCGUUAUGUCAUCCUUGUUCCCACCUUCCGACUUAGCAAGCCUUGUCACUGUCGAACUGACAUUCUCUGCUGCCCAUCUGUAGUCGAUGUGUGAUUCAUAAUCUGUAUCUGCUGCUGUAUCUUGCCAUGGAUAAUACAGCUCACUUCCACUAUUGCACACCAACGUAUCAAAUUCUUGUAAGCCUAGUUGACAGCCUUUCAGAGCCUAUUGAAUGGUGCAGCUAAGGGAACCGUGGAUCCAGGCAUAUUAGGGGAAGGGAGCCAGAUGCCAAAUCCGCCGCACAUGUUCUCUCCACUCUAUUACUGCGUUCACGUUUAUUCCUAGUUGCAAUCACCGUGAUUUAACAGGAAGGAUACAUUUUGACGUUUUUGCAGUGUUCUGCUUAGGAAGUUUCAUCAUUCACCCAAGGGAGUGUAGAAAUCUGGAAGCAAAAGGAUUUUCGUCUCAUCAGGUACAAAUCUCAACUUCCGAUCUUGCAUGAUUAAAUUCCUAUCUGUUCUAGCAAUUAACUGAGAGCAAAUAAAAAGGUUACAUAUACUUCAUCAAAAAGUGGCCAAAAAGAGGCAAGUAAGAGUGGGGGACGAAAAAAAUAUUGGUGCACAAGUUCAUGUUAAUUAAAUUUUAUGGAAAUAAAUAACAAUAUGUAAUUAGAAAACAGAAAUAUUAAGAAUGUAACCUUGUCAAGGUAGUAGUAAUUUGUUGAGAGUGGGAUUUGAACCCACGCCCUUUUGGACUAGAACCUUAAUCUAGCGCCUUAGACCAACUCGGCCAUCUUUAAUUUUUUUGGUAAGCCCGACAGUCCUGUUAGAUUAUAUAUCUUUUAAUAAAAACACAUUUUAUUUAUUUACAUUUAUACUAUCUAUCAUCUAAAAUAACAUAAAAGAUGAUUCCAUAUUGAUUAAAAACUUUUCACUUUUUCUCCAUCUCCACAUCUAAUAAUGUUCCUUGGAGAGAGGGUUCAAGUUAAGCCAUAUGAUUGCCUUUCAUUAUUGGUAUCAUAGAAUUGUGUCAUAUUUCGACAUUUUUUUUUCUUUUUUGCAAAACAUUUCACUUUUCAUUCAUUUUCACAUUUUCAUCUCAUGCCUUUCAAAGAGAGAGUUUAGCUCAAGCUAUAUGAUUGCCUUUAAUUACUCUUUUAAAGUAUCAAAUGUCCAAAAAAUAAUAAUACAUAAAGCCAAAAUAGUCUUCUUGUGCAACACUUUAAUGCAGUCUUUUUAUAAAAUAAAAUUAAAAAUAGUGUUAUAUUGUAUUGUAUUAGAAAUAGGGUAAAAAGAGGGCACUCCCUAUUUGUCUUGUUCCAAAAAGAGAGGUAUUAGGAAGGAAAAGAUAUAGGAAAAGAAAGGUAGGAGUUUAAGAAAUUAUAAGUAAAUUGGCCAGACUAAAUCCGUUAUAUAUAUAUAUAUAUAUAUAUAUAUAUCGUUUAUUAUAGAAAGAGAUUAUAUGUGUGCUAUCUCUCUCUUGUUCAAAUAUUAAAAUUAACUUUCACCAUCU